rnacentral:rRNA from 1 species
AUUGAACGCUGGCGGCAUGCCUUACACAUGCAAGUCGAACGGUAACAGGUUAAGCUGCCGCGUGGCGAACGGGUGAGUAAUGUAUCGGAACGUGCCCAGUCGUGGGGGAUAACUGCUCGAAAGAGCAGCUAAUACCGCAUACGACCUGAGGGUGAAAGCGGGGGAUCGCAAGACCUCGCGCGAUUGGAGCGGCCGAUAUCAGAUUAGGUAGUUGGUGAGGUAAAGGCUCACCAAGCCGACGAUCUGUAGCUGGUCUGAGAGGACGACCAGCCACACUGGGACUGAGACACGGCCCAGACUCCUACGGGAGGCAGCAGUGGGGAAUUUUGGACAAUGGGCGCAAGCCUGAUCCAGCCAUGCCGCGUGCGGGAAGAAGGCCUUCGGGUUGUAAACCGCUUUUGUCAGGGAAGAAAAGGUUCUGGCUAAUACCUGGGACUCAUGGCGGUACCUGAAGAAUAAGCACCGGCUAACUACGUG